rnacentral:rRNA from 1 species
CCCUUAGAUGUCCGGGGCCGCACGCGCGCUACACUGAGGGGAUCAAUGUGUGUCUCUCCUGACCCGUCAGGGUUGGGUAACCCGUUGAACCUCCCUCGUGCUUGGGAUCGGGGCUUGAAAUUCUUCCCCGUCAACGAGGAAUUCCCAGUAAGUGCGAGUCAUCAGCUCGCAUUGAUUACGUCCCUGCCCUUUGUACACACCGCCCGUCGCUCCUACCGAUUGAGUGGUCCGGUGAGGCUUUGGGAUCUGAGCGGAAAGAGCGUUUCGCUGUUUCUGCUCGGAAAACUCAGUCGAACCUUAUCAUUUAGAGGAAGGAGAAGUCGUAACA